AGCUUUGCGCAGUGGCAGUAUCGUAGCCAAUGAGGUUUAUCCGAGGCAAGAUUAUUGCUAAUUAAAUAGCAUUGAGGCUAAAAUUCUCCGUAACUGAACUAGUUUUCUAUUGUUGCCUUAACAAAUUAUACAAAUUUAAGCCACUAA
ensembl:snRNA U4 U4 spliceosomal RNA